GACGAACGCUGGCGGCGUGCUUAACACAUGCAAGUCGAACGAUGAAGCUGGAGCUUGCUCCGGUGGAUUAGUGGCGAACGGGUGAGUAACACGUGAGCAAUCUGCCCUUGACUCUGGGAUAACUGCGGGAAACUGUAGCUAAUACCGGAUACUUUCACUGGAAGGCAUCUUCUGGUGAGGAAAGAAUUUCGGUCAAGGAUGAGCUCGCGGCCUAUCAGCUUGUUGGUGAGGUAACGGCUCACCAAGGCGACGACGGGUAGCCGGCCUGAGAGGGUGACCGGCCACACUGGGACUGAGACGCGGCCCAGACUCCUACGGGAGGAAGCAGUGGGGAAUAUUGCACAAUGGGCGCAAGCCUGAUGCAGCAGCGCCGCGUGAGGGAUGAAGGCCUUCGGGUUGUAAACCUCUUUUAGCAGGGAAGAAGCGAAAGUGACGGUACCUGCAGAAAAAGCACCGGCUAACUACGUGCCAGCCGCCGCCGUAA
rnacentral:rRNA from 1 species